CUGAGUCCGCUCUGGAGUGAAAUAAAGCUUGGUUUUGCCUUUGCUGAGUGAAACAGAACUUCGGUUUUGCCUUUGCUGGAUACUGAUCUGAUCGUCUCAAGUCUGGUGACCUGCUGCAGAAGAUCCUCUCUCUCUCUAUCAUUAUAAGCAAUUCUGUCUAUCCUAUCACUCUCCCAACUCUAUCUAAUUUGAAAGCCAUUCUAUCUUGUAUCCCUCUAUCUCUACCGCUCUAUCUAAUUUGAAAGCCAUUCUAUCUUGUAUCCCUCUAUCUCUACCGCUCUAUCUAAUUUGAAAGCCAUUCUAUCUUGUAUCCCUCUAUCUCUACCGCUCUAUCUAAUUUGAAAGCCAUUCUAUCUUGUAUCCCUCUCUCUACUGCUCUAUCUAAUUUGAAAGCCAUUCCAUCUUGUAUCCCUCUAUCUCUACUGCUCUAUCUAAUUUGAGAAUCCAAGUUUUCAGAAAUCCUUUUCAGAAUCCAAUCUAUCUGUUACAGAAUUCUGAGAGAUCUCUGCUCUCACUGCUCUUUCUUUCCUGUCUUUAAACUCUCUCACAUUCAGUCAUUUUGCUGGAAAUUACAAGUUGAAUAUACAGUAGUAGAAUUACAGUACAGUAGAACUUAUAGUAGAAACUACUUACACAGCCCUACAUUUGUCAUUUUAAUUUUGCAUUAGACUUUAGUUUGGACUGCUAGUUUGGCUUACUUUGAUCAAUUGUAUAAAAUAUCACCUUUUUAUAAGUUUAUUUGUAAUAAGAUAAUCUGGUUAUUUUGUAAUACAUACAUUCAGAUAAAUAAUAAAUUAGAUCCAGUCUGUUAGUCUGUUUCAUUGGCUAUAACAUUUGACUGCAAGUUUAUAGUAUUAUUAUU